CAGACAUUGAAGAAACAUCGAUAACGAAUGAAUCAAUAACGUUUACCAAUCAAAACUUGUCUACAGUGACAGACGUAACAUCAGAAGGAAUAGAAUGGCAAAAUGUCAAUACUGAAUCAUAUACAGUUUCAGGAACUGACAUAACGCUUAAAGCCACUGAAAAUACGACUCAAAAUAUAGAAUCUAACUCAG